rfam:Schistosoma rodhaini strain Burundi genome assembly, scaffold: SROB_scaffold0001855
GCAUUGCUGAGGAGUCCCAUAAUAGGACGUAACGGCAGUCCAAUGC